UGGUCAAGUUAUUAAGGGUGCAGGGCGGAUGCCUUGGCACUAGGAGCCGAUGAAGGACGUGAUAAGCUGCGAUAAGCUUCGGGGAGUUGCACGUAAACUUUGAUCCGAAGAUUUCCGAAUGAGGAAACUCACUUAGAGUAAUGUCUAAGUAUCAUUAAGUGAAUACAUAGCUUAAUGAGGGGAACUCAGGGAACUGAAACAUCUAAGUACCUGAAGGAAGAGAAAGAAAUUCGAUUCCGUAAGUAGCGGCGAGCGAACGCGGAUUAGCCCAAACCAAUAAAGUUUUCUUUAUUGGGGUUGCGGACAUAUCAUAACGAAGAGGUAUCGUAAUUGAAGAGGUUUGGAAAGACCCACCACAGAAGGUAAUAGUCCUGUAUGUUAAACGAGAAGACUUUAGAUAUGAUCCAGAGUACCACGGGACACGUGAAACCCUGUGGGAAGCAGGAGGGACCACCCUCCAAGGCUAAAUACUACCUAGUGACCGAUAGCGUAUAGUACCGUGAGGGAAAGGUGAAAAGAACCCCGGGAGGGGAGUGAAAUAGAACCUGAAACCCUGCACUUACAAGCUGUGGAAGCACAUUUCUUGUGUGACCGCGUACUUUUUGUAGAACGGGCCAACGAGUUACGUUAAGUAGCAAGGUUAAGCACUUAAGGUGCGGAGCCGUAGCGAAAGCGAGUUUUAACUGAGCGUUCAGUUACUUGACGUAGACCCGAAACCGGGCGACCUACCCAUGAGCAGGAUGAAGCGAAAGUAAAAUUUCGUGGAGGUCCGAACCCACGAGCGUUGAAAAGCUCGGGGAUGACUUGUGGGUAGCGGUGAAAUUCCAAUCGAGCCCGGAGAUAGCUGGUUCUCCCCGAAAUAGCUUUAGGGCUAGCCUCAAGGUGAGAGAUACGGAGGUAGAGCACUGAAUGUCCUAGGGGGUAUUGCACCUACCGAAGACUAUCAAACUCCGAAUGCCGUCAUCUUAUACUUGGGAGUCAGACUGUGGGUGAUAAGAUUCAUAGUCGAAAGGGCAACAGCCCAGAUCGUCAGCUAAGGUCCCUAAAUGUAAGUUAAGUGGUAAAGGAUGUGGGAUUGCACAGACAACCAGGAUGUUGGCUUAGAAGCAGCCACUCAUUCAAAGAGUGCGUAAUAGCUCACUGGUCGAGUGAUCCUGCGCCGAAGAUUUCCGGGGCUAAAACUUACUACCGAAGCUACGGCAUCAGUAAUGA
rnacentral:rRNA from 1 species